CAUGGGGGAGGCGCGCAUGGUUGAUGAUUAUGUUCUGGGUUGGCCAUUGAGAGGGAGGCCGAAGCAAACUCCGUUAGGUUUCAGAAAACUACUUCAGGUUAGGCGGGAGAAAUAAAAAGGGUAACCAUAGAUAUAUGGUCUAGCAUCACGAGGUUCAGGUUCCUGUUGUUGAUCAACCGUUGCUUCGGUCGAGCUAGAGAUUAAAGAAGACUGAAAUUAUGGGCUCGCAGCGACGAUUGUUGUGUCCAACCUGCACAAGAAUUCCAAGAAGUCCUUCUCAGA